ACUCCUACGGGAGGCAGCAGUGAGGAAUAUUGGACAAUGGGCGCAAGCCUGAUCCAGCCAUGCCGCGUGCAGGAUGACGGUCCUAUGGAUUGAUAACUGCUUUUAUACGAGAAGAAACACUACUUCGUGAAGUAGCUGACGGUAUC
rnacentral:rRNA from 1 species